rnacentral:rRNA from 1 species
UAAGAAGGGGGGAUGGUGGAUGCCUUGGUGCUGGUGGCCGAGGAAGGACGCGGCAAGACGGCGAAACGCCCCGGGGAGCGGUCGUGCGCGCAGUGAGCCGGGGGUCUCCGAAUGGGGCAACCCGCCAGGGGUCAUACCCUGGCAUCCCGUUCCGUCCGGAGCGGGAGGGGCACCGUGGGAACUGAAACAUCUUAGUACCACGAGGAACAGAAAGCAUUCCCCAAGUAGUGGUGAGCGAACGGGGAGCCGCCUAAACGUCCUGCGUGUCAAGCCGGGCGGCGUUGCGCAGGACGGGUUGCGGGACCAGCGCAGGGAAGGCGCCCGACUUCCCACGUCUCCCACCUUGCAAGCCGAAGUCGGCUGGAACGCCGCGCCAGAGCGGGCGAACGCCCCGUAGGCGUCUCAAGGUGGCAGGCGGGGCACUGGCUCCCAAGUAGGUCGGGACCCGGGAAAUCCCGACUGAAGCUGGGUGGACCACCACCCAAGGCUACAUACCACCAGCAACCAAUAGCGGACCAGUACCGUGAGGGAACGGUGAAAAGCACCCCGGGAGGGGAGUGAAACAGACCCUGAACCCAUCCCCCUACCAGCCGUCGGAGCCUGGACCUCCAGGUGACGGCGUGCCUAUUGAAGAAUGAGCCGGCGAGUUCCCCUCGGCGGCAGGCAAAGGUGUUCAGCACCACAGCCAGAGCGAAAGCGAGUCUGAACAGGGCGUGCGUCGCCGGGGGGAGACCCGAAACCGGGUGAGCUAUCCAUCGCCAGGAUGAAGCGUGGGUAAUGCCACGUGGAGGUCCGCACCCAGGGCCGUUGCAAAGGCACGGGAGGAGCGGUGGAUAGAGGUGAAAUGCCAAGCGAACCCGGAGCUAGCUGGUUCUCCCCGAAAUGCAUCGCGGUGCAGCCUCGGGCGCUCCCCCACGGAGGUAGCGCGCUGGUUCGGCGCGGGGGCAAUCGCCUACCAACCCGAGCUAAUCGCCCAAUGCCGUGGGGUGUGAGCCCGGGAGUGAGACGGCGGGGGCUAAGCUCCGUCGUCAAAAGGGAAACAACCCAGACCGGCAGCUAAGGUCCCGAAGUCUGCGCUUAGUGGGCAAGGAGGUGGGUCCGCCCAGACAGCCAGGAGGUUGGCUUAGAAGCAGCCACCCUCGAACGAGUGCGUAAUAGCUCACUGGUCGAGUGGACCUGCGCCGACAAUGUCCCGGGGCUUAAGCGCAGCACCGACGCUCCGGCUGGCAAAGCGAUUUGCCAGGGUAGGGGAGCGUGCCACUCAGCAGCGAAGGGAACGUGGAAACGUUGCUGGAGCGGGUGGCAGUGCGAAUGCCGGCAUGAGUAGCGCAAGGGAGGUGUGAAUCCUCCCCGCCGCAGGCCUGAGGGUUCCUACGGAAGGGUCGUCCGCGUAGGGGUAGUCGGGCCUAAGCCGAGGGCGCAAGCCGUAGGCGAUGGACAGCAGGUCAAUAUUCCUGCACCGGUCCAGCAGCAGUGAUGGGGGUGGGGACGCUUCCCCCCUCUGGCGGCCGUGCGAUGGAGUAGCACGGUUGCUGGCAAGCCCAGCAGGACGAUGCUGGCGACAGCAUCGGAGUGCCGGGGGGCGGGGGGCCAAGAAAAGCCAUCCCCGGAGCCCUGGACCGCCCGUACCGCAAACCGACACUGGUAGGCUGCGGUCAAGGCCGUAAGGCGUUCGGGUGAGCCCUCGUCAAGGAACUCGGCAACUUGGCCCCGUACCUUCGGAAGAAGGGGUGCCAGCCCGGUACCCACCAGCGGUGGGUGCUGGGUGUGGCCGCAGGGCAUCGGCCCAGGCGACUGUUUACCAAAAACACAGGUCUCCGCGAAGCCGUAAGGCGCAGUAUGGGGGCUGACGCCUGCCCAGUGCCGGAAGGUUAAGGGGAGGGCUUCACGGCCCAAACUGAAGCCCCGGUGAACGGCGGCCGUAACUAUAACGGUCCUAAGGUAGCGAAAUUCCUUGUCGGGUAAGUUCCGACCCGCACGAAUGGCGUCACGACCUGGGCGCUGUCUCGACGAGGGGCCCGGCGAAAUUGCACUCAGCGUGAAGAUGCGUUGUUCCCGCGACUGGACAAAAAGACCCCGUGGAGCUUUACUGCAGCUUGGCGUUGGGCCGGGGUCGACGAUGCGUAGGAUAGGUGGGACGCGACGAACGGCCCCUUGCGGGGGGUCGGGAGCGGCCGGUGAAAUACCACUCUUCGUCGACUUCGGUCCUCACGGGACGAACGGCGUCUCGGACCGCGCCUGGUGGGCAGUUUGACUGGGGCGGUCGCCUCCUAAAGCGUAACGGAGGCGCCCAAAGGUUCCCUCAGGCCGGAGGGCAAUCGGCCAGGGCGUGUAUUGGCAGAAGGGAGCUUGACGGCAAGGCAGACGCGCCGAGCCGGGACGAAAGUCGGGCAAAGUGAUCCCACGGUCCCGCGUGGAAGGGCCGUGGCGUAGCGGAUAAAAGCUACCCCGGGGAUAACAGGCUGAUCCUGCCCAAGAGUCCCCAUCGACGGCAGGGUUUGGCACCUCGAUGUCGGCUCGUCGCAUCCUGGGGCUGUAGUCGGUCCCAAGGGUUGGGCUGUUCGCCCAUGAAAGCGGUACGCGAGCUGGGUUCAGAACGUCGUGAGACAGUUCGGUCUCUCUCCGUCGCGGGCGGAGGGGAUUUGCGGGAAGUCGUCGGUAGUACGAGAGGACCCCGACGAGCGGGCCGCUGGUGUGUGGGUCGUCCCGCCCGGGGCGUCGCCCAGUAGCUAUGCCCGUUGGGGAGAAGCGCUGAAAGCAUCUAAGCGCGAAGCCCCGCCCAAGAUGAGAUCCCCCACUGCACUCAGCAGGUAAGGCCACCGGAAGACGACCGGUUCGAUAGCCGGCCGGUGGACAGCGGGUAACCGUUGCAGCCAAGCCGGACUAAUGG